UACGGAGGAUCCAAGCGUUAUCCGGAUUUAUUGGGUUUAAAGGGUGCGUAGGUGGCCUGUUAAGUCAGAGGUGAAAGCCCGGGGCUCAACCCCGGAAUUGCCUUUGAGACUGCAUCGCUAGAAUUGUGGAGAGGUAAGUGGAAUUCCGAGUGUAGAGGUGAAAUUCGUAGAUAUUCGGAAGAACACCAGUGGCGAAGGCGACUUACUGGACACAUAUUGACGCUGAGGUGCGAAAGCGUGGGGAGCAAACAGG
rnacentral:rRNA from 1 species